rnacentral:rRNA from 1 species
GUGGGGAAUAUUGGACAAUGGGCGAAAGCCUGAUCCAGCCAUGCCGCGUGUGUGAAGAAGGUCUUCGGAUUGUAAAGCACUUUAAGUUGGGAGGAAGGGCAGUAAGUUAAUACCUUGCUGUUUUGACGUUACCGACAGAAUAAGCACCGGCUAACUUCGUGCCAGCAGCAGCGGUAAUACGAAGGGUGCAAGCGUUAAUCGGAAUUACUGGGCGUAAAGCGCGCGUAGGUGGUUUUGUAAGUUGGAGGUGAAAUCCCCGGGCUCAACCUGGGAGCUGCCUCAAAAACUGCAUGACUAGAGUACGGUAGAGGGUAGUGGAAUUUCCUGUGUAGCGGUGAAAUGCGUAGAUAUAGGAAGGAACAUCAGUGGCGAAGGCGACUACCUGGACUGAUACUGACACUGAGGUGCGAAAGCGUGAGGAGCAAACAGGAUUAGAUACACGUGUAGUCC